rnacentral:rRNA from 1 species
GUAGGACGCACAGUUAUACCGUAGCUUGCUACACCAUAGACUGUGAGUUGCGAACGGGUGAGUAACGCGUAGGUAACUUGCCUAUUAGAGGGGGAUAACUAUUGGAAACGAUAGCUAAUACCGCAUAACAGUAUGUAACACAUGUUAGAUGCUUGAAAGAUGCAAUUGCAUCGCUAGUAGAUGGACCUGCGUUGUAUUAGCUAGUAGGUAGGGUAAAGGCCUACCUAGGCAACGAUACAUAGCCGACCUGAGAGGGUGAUCGGCCACACUGGGACUGAGACACGGCCCAGACUCCUACGGGAGGCAGCAGUAGGGAAUCUUCGGCAAUGGGGGGAACCCUGACCGAGCAACGCCGCGUGAGUGAAGAAGGUUUUCGGAUCGUAAAGCUCUGUUGUUAAGGAAGAACGAGUGUGAGAAUGGAAAGUUCAUACUGUGACGGUACUUAACCAGAAAGGGACGGCUAACUACGUGCCAGCAGCCGCGGUAAUACAUAGGUCCCGAGCGUUGUCCGGAUUUAUUGGGCGUAAAGCGAGCGCAGGCGGUUAGAAAAGUCUGAAGUGAAAGGCAGUGGCUCAACCAUUGUAGGCUUUGGAAACUGUUUAACUUGAGUGCAGAAGGGGAGAGUGGAAUUCCAUGUGUAGCGGUGAAAUGCGUAGAUAUAUGGAGGAAC